rnacentral:lncRNA from 1 species
UAGUUUGUACGUCCAUGCGACUGCCACAUCUCGCCUCUGACGUUGGCUUGGCUGUCCAAAAAUUUAGAUUUAAUAUAAAGUUUAGAAAUAGCCAUGAAUACAUUAUUAUUUUUAUAUGUAUUAUCAAUUUACAUUAUUUUCUAAAUCUAAAUCCAAAUUUUAAAGUAUAAAUUUUUAAAAUCACCCUUUUUUAAGUAUUUUAGAUUUAUUUAGACUACUAGAUCCGUUUAUAUUAUUUUAAAAAAAUAAUAAAAUAGCUAAUAUAACCAUUUAAAAUUAGAUUAUUAGUUAAGUUACGUAUAAUAUUUGAUUCUAAUUAUAGUUAAUUUGAAUAUGUAUAAUUUAUAAUUGUAAUUAUACCUAUAAACUUAAAAAGAAAUGUUAUGUUAUAUUUAACAUUUAUAAUUAUAUUUUUAUUAAAUUAAAAUAUACAAUAAAUUAUGAUAUAUUAACAUAUUUGCUAAUAAUUCAAAAGAGUAAAUGGUUAAAGCUUUAUAUUAAUACUGUUAUACGUAAGUGACCACUAACCCGAGUCUCAGAUAGAAUCUGGAUCAUCUAUUUGUGACUCGGACAAGCCCCACUAGAUGAUCGAGUGAGAAGCAAACUGCGAUGGGACACCGAGGGGUGUUCGUGGACCCAACUCGCAUGACAGGCUUGCGGAUCUAGCUCGCAUGAACUAAGGGAAGGUUGCAGUCUCAGCUUGCAUGCGUCCAAGAAGCUCGCAGAAGGAGGACCAUGCUCUACAGGCAACCUAGAAGGAAACAUGUGUCUAGCAGGCCUAAAGCUCGCAGGGAAUGUCAGCACUAGGAAUAGAAAAGACUGCGUGCUCCACAGACAACCAAGAGUGAAAUACUGUCCAAUUGGCCUAAAGCUCACACAGAA